rnacentral:misc_RNA from 1 species
UUUCCGUAGGUGAACCUGCGGAAGGAUCAUUCAUAAUAAGUGUUUUAUGGCACUUUUUUAAAUCCAUAUCCACCUUGUGUGCAAUGUCAGGGUUGAUUUUUCUCUCGAGAGGAUCAACCCCAAACAUCAGCUAUAUCUCAACUCUUUGUCUGAAAAAUAUUAUGAAUAAAACAAUUCAAAAUACAACUUUCAACAACGGAUCUCUUGGCUCUC